CACUCCUGCGGGAGGCAGCAGUGGGGAAUUUUGGACAAUGGGGGCAACCCUGAUCCAGCAAUGCCGCGUGAGUGAAGAAGGCCUUCGGGUUGUAAAGCUCUUUUGUCAGGGAAGAAACGGUGGUGGCGAAUAACUACUACUAAUGACGGUACCUGAAGAAUAAGCACCGGCUAACUACGUGCCAGCAGCCGCGGUAAUACGUAGGGUGCAAGCGUUAAUCGGAAUUACUGGGCGUAAAGCGUGCGCAGGCGGUUGUGUAAGUCAGAUGUGAAAUCCCCGGGCUCAACCUGGGAAUUGCAUUUGAGACUGCACGGCUAGAGUGUGUCAGAGGGGGGUAGAAUUCCACGUGUAGCAGUGAAAUGCGUAGAUAUGUGGAGGAAUACCGAUGGCGAAGGCAGCCCCCUGGGAUAACACUGACGCUCAUGCACGAAAGCGUGGGGAGCAAACAGGAUUAGAAACCUAGUAGUCCCA
rnacentral:rRNA from 1 species